GCCCAGAUAGCUCAGUUGGUAGAGCAGAGGACUGAAAAUCCUCGUGUCGCUGGGUCGAUUCCGGCUCUGGGCA
rnacentral:tRNA from 1 species